CCACAUCGACAGGGGAGCGCCCGCGCGGCGCUGAGAGUGCGGUCCGCCGCAGACCCUCGAACCUGCUCCGGUCCGCACCGGCGAAGGAAGUCGAGUCUCCCGGUCG
rnacentral:ncRNA from 5 species